rnacentral:rRNA from 1 species
UACAGAGGUCUCAAGCGUUGUUCGGAUUCAUUGGGCGUAAAGGGUGCGUAGGCGGCGCGGUAAGUCGGGUGUGAAAUCUCGGGGCUUAACUCCGAAACUGCACUUGAUACUGCCUUGCUCGAGUACUGGAGAGGAGACUGGAAUUUACGGUGUAGCAGUGAAAUGCGUAGAUAUCGUAAGGAAGACCAGUGGCGAAGGCGAGUCUCUGGACAGUUACUGACGCUGAGGCACGAAGGCCAGGGGAGCAAACGGG